UGAGGAUAAUGAUAAUGACAUAGUAAUAAGUACUACUCUUUAUUGGCCUCUUGAUACAUGCCAGGCUCUGUUCUAAGAAGUCUACUGAUAGGAGCUCAUUUAAUGUUCAGAACAACCCAGGGAGGCAGUUGCUACUGUCUUCACGGUGAUGCAAGCGAGGCCCGGAGGGGUUAAGCUUCUUGUCCAGGGGCAUCCAGCCAGCACGGAACGGAGGGCCGACCUGCACCGGGCAGUCUGUCCACAGUGCAUGCUUUCCCACCAUGACGUGUGACCUCUUCAUGACCCCGGGAAUGCAUUUGUUCAUUUGUUUGUUCACAUACUGAUGCCCUAACGGAAGCUCCGGCGUGUAUAGUGGAGCUUAAAGCCCAGUGGGAGAGCGAUGUGAAGGUCUUGGUGGUUCUCACACGGGGGACUGCGAGCUCAGCGGCGGGUGAUCAGGCCCUGGGCUGUGUGAGCCUAAGACACAGACUGCAGGGUGGGGAGAAGGCUGGGAUGCCAGUGAACAUCUCCCGGGUAGCUGUUAAGAAGAGGUCAGCGAGUCUGGUCACAGUACACAUCUGAGUGCCUGGUGUCGGGGAAGCAUCUCGGAAUUGGGCUGCAAAGAAGGCAGCUUCAGAUCAGACUUCAAAUCACACGCAACUUUGAACUGUGCAAGGAGAGAACGUUCAGAUGCCAUGUCUCCCCUGAGAAUCUGUGAACCCAGCACUUGCUCGACGUGAAAUUAUUCAAGUUCCAGGGAACACAUUGCCUCCAGGAGGAGAAAAAGUAUCUGAGGAUGGAGCACAGAAAGAGCAAGCAGAGCUGACAGAUAGAGUGCAAGAGUCUUGAUGGUUUCCUUUGAACUCUGGACCCAGCAAUGGCCACCUGGACUUCCCAGUCAUCUGAGAUACCUCCCGCUGCGUUGUUCUGAAGUCAGCUCUGACCCAGUGGGCAGCCUUGGUCCGUCAGGAACGUAUGGAAUCGGUCCCUGCUUCGGAUCCAGUAUCUGGGGUGUCUGGCUCCUUCUUGGCAUCUGUGUGCCCAGUGGCUCCUUCUCACCAUGCCACUCAUGUCCUCUUUCCUCAUGAGCAGAUUCCCAGUGGCUUGUGCCUUUGCCUUAAACCCAGGGCCACUGCUGGAGGCACCAAUGCCAUUCCUUUCUCUUACCGGCAUCUUUCCCCUCCAGGUGCCUGAGUCCAUCUUCCACACCCACAGUCAUGGGGUGUCAUACGGACUCACCUUCACGAACCAUGUUGGUGUGACCUGCCUAUGAGAACCCCCCCCAUUACCAGGCGCCUCUUAUUGCCAUGCCCAUUGCUUGAUGGACCCCCUGAUUACUGGCAGGCCCCUGUGACCCCAUAGAUCCAUAUCUUGGACUUCUGGGCCUCUGAGAAGCAGCCCUGCAGGCGGGUCACUUCUCCUGUGUCCUGGCCCCAGCUUCCUCUCACUCCCCACUGAGUCGUGUUGAUAAGCCCCAAACCACACAGCACACUCCCUCAGCCCAGGUGAGGGCAGUUCACCCCCAUCAGCUGCUGUGUUCCCGAUACGCCCAUAUCAUUCCCAAGACUAAAGAAAACCCAGGUCCUUCUUUAAACACCCUAAGACCUUGAGCGUGCCAUGAAAUGUGUAUUAACACUUUCUUUUGAGAGGAAAAGCUCUUUUGCAACUGCCCAUUAACCAUUAAUGUUCUGAGGUCCGGUGGGAAAAAGGAGAAAGAAGAAAAGAUAAAGGGAGAAUGCCGCUGAGACAGUCCGCUGCGAAGGUUCACCACGACGCACAUAGUUUCAUACUUGUUGGCUCUAUCCCUGUAAUGUUGUUAUUCACGAGACAUAAAGGGAGUGAGAGAGCAAAAUAAACAACGGUGGCUGAGGAGACGGAGGGGGCACAGGGAGAAACUAAGCCACAGAACACAGCCAAAGAGCAGAGCAGUGCAGGCAGAAAAUUACAUCUGGAUUAUUCUAUUUAAAUAGAAGAAACAAAUCACACCAAGGGGCUCACGGCAAUGUGGGCUGGAGUGACAGUGAACAGAGCAGCCUGGACUGCCGUCUCUCUCAGUCGCUGAGUCAACUCCUAGCCUCCUGUGUGAUCCUGCAGAACUCCCGGGAGCCAGCCGUGGCCCCGGUUCUCCUGCUCAGUCCUGCCUGGUCCUGCCCCAUCCAGCCCCGUCCCCUGUGGUCUUGCCCCUGCUCUGCAGUCCGUCAGUUCUUUUCUGCCUCUGCUAUUAGAUUUCUGUCCUCAUUCCACUGGUUAUCUUUGAACAUGCCUUUGUCUUCCCUUCGGUCUCAGGCUGCAAGCCUCUUAAAGGUUCUUGUGUCUUUGUACCUUUCUUCAGUGCCCUGGGCUAAAAUUCUUCCAUGUAGCAGGUACACAAUACAUUUGUAUACUUAAACAUACUCAUAUAUUGGUUGGUAAAUUAAUUUCAAAUGCUAAUUUUUUCUGCAGUUGGGACUGUGAGCAGGAAUUCUUCAUACACAGUACUUUUGGAGGCAGAUGGUUAAUUAUCACUGAGCCACCUACAAUAGGACCCUAUUUGGACAAACAUGUCCAUUUAUAGCAGCUGUUCCUCUUAAAAUACCUUCAAUAGAUUGAUAAAAACAAUGCAACAGGUUCAAAGAUUUUCAAUAGUAAAUAUUUUUGUCUGGAUUUCUCCAAGUAAGUAUAUUUGGAGAAUCACUGAGAUUUGAGAUGUUUUAUACCUAAUAAGGACAUCACAAAAUUAGAGGAUCUAUCUGUUUAUUCAACUUAUCUUUUGAAAUGUCUCCAUUUCCUUUGAAUAAGAAAUAGUAGGAUAGUCGAACUGUAUGUCUACCAUAUUCUGUCUGGGUUUUAAAGGCAAUGUAAAGCAGACAUAGCCAAUAUUCCUCCUCGGCCUACAGAAGUUACACUCACCCACUUUUCAAUUUGAAUAGUCAGUGAUACUUAGAAGGAAAUGGUGCCUAGCGUUUGUUAAAUUCUAGACACGAGUCACACAUUGUGUUCAUCUCGCAUCUUUCUGUGUCUGCAUUUCCUCAUCCAUAAAAUGAGGAUAAAAGUGUUUGUUAGGAGGAUUAAAUUAGUUAAUAUGGGUAAUAUAUAGUCUUAGAUUAAUGACUGCCGUGAUAAGCACUACAGAAGUGUUUGUUGGAGAAAUAAAAACAAAAUAAAUUUAACUCUCACAGCAGUGCUUUGCGGUCAGUGCUUUCAAAAGCCCUUCUGCCAAAAAUAGUUAAAAAGCAGCUGAUUCAUUUGUUUUCUAUCCUUAAAUUUACAAACAGUGGCUGUCACCACACAAUCUUCUCUAGCCCUGGACGGCAAUUAUUUGUACAGCCUAGCUGUCUCAACUUUAUUUGUUUUGAAUAAAUAAAUAUAAUUAUAUGUGUUCUCAAGGCCCCUAGAAGCAUUUUCCCAAUAGUAGGGGUGAAAAGACACACCGCCAUCUUCUUAUGUAACUGACUAAGUCAGUUUCACACUUGGCAAAGGAGAAGCUUAGCAGAAUGGGAAAAUGUCUUAAAAUAUUAAUUAUGUAUUACUGAGUUUCAUAAAUUUUUUAAUUUUCUGAAAGGGACUAAUAACAAGAACUGUAAUGACUCAAGGGGAAUGACACAUUUGCAUUUUAUUAGUUAAAAUAAGUGUAGUAAUUUUUUAGUCAUCUGAUGGUCAUUGGAAAAUGGGCCAUUUAGUAUGUGUACAUUUUUUGGACGACUACAUCCUGGUCUUUCAAUGGCAAAAACUUUGAUUAUUUUCACCUUUUUUCUUAAAUGAUGGGAAUAAUCACUCACUUCCUAUCAGUCAGGCCAUAUUGGAAAAUGCAAUAAAUGCUGAACAUAAUGUUAGCGGUUUUUGUAUGGGAAGCAAGGGUCAACACUUACUUUACUGAAUGGUGUUGCAGGAACACGUUCAGAUAUUUUGAGGCACGAGAGAGCACUCUGCCUUCACGCUGAAUGGCCCCACUGCUGAUGCCUUACCAAGUGUUGUGCUGGGAUUUUAUGUUUUAUUAGUUCACAGAGUGCUUAUGGGGCUUUUGGGCUUCACUUGUGUGGUACUAGCAAUUGAAAAUCAUUAAAAAAAAAAGAUUUCUGGGGAUUUAAAAAAAAUAAGAAAAAGGAGAUCAAACAGGUGUUGUAAGGGCAUAUACCUAUAACCGUCUGCUCAACAGCCAGAGUAGGUGCUGUUAGUGAUAAAAAAGAAGGGAGAGGAGAGGGUACAGCUCAAGUGGUAAAGUGCAUGUGCACGAGGUCCUGGGUUCAAUCCCCAGUACCUCCUCUAAAAAUAAAUAAACCGAAUUACCUCCCCCACUGCCAAAAUAAAAAAAAAUAAAUAAUACAAAAAAAAAAAAAAAAAAGGAAA